UGUGCUGUGAGAGUAAGAGAAGCAGGAGAGGUUUAAGGGCAGCACACUGUUAACUUACAGCAACAGUGAGUCUCAUCUGUCGUGCUAGACGUAGGUUGCGUAUGUGGUUCUCUCAAUGACAGGAGGGCAAAGGUGAACCAAAAUGCAAAGCCACAGCAAGACGUGAAACAUGGCAGGUGUCUGAUUUGAUCCUUCUACCACCUGAGGGCAACACACUUCAGCUGUAUGACAGUGUGUGAAAACGGGUGCCAUUGGCUCGCUGGUUGAGUACAAAGAUCAGACAGGAAACCCAGGAGGAACAUGGAAAUUGAAAAAUCAUUGGCACUGCGCUGCCGUCGGAGUAAAUGAUCCUGUGCUUUGGCAAGAGGGGGAGGGGAAAAUCUUAUCU